rnacentral:tRNA from 1 species
UAGCUCAGUGGUAAGAGUGCUUGCCUAGGAUGCAAGAGGUUCUUGGUUUGAGCCCUUG